rnacentral:rRNA from 1 species
CCUACGGGGGGCUGCAGUGAGGAAUAUUGGGCAAUGGGCGCAAGCCUGACCCAGCAACGCCGCGUGAAGGAAGAAGGCUUUCGGGUUGUACACUUCUUUUCUGAGGGACGAAGCAAGUGACGGUCCCUCAGGAAUAAGCCACGGCUAACUACGUGCCAGCAGCCGCGGUAAUACGUAGGUGGCAAGCGUUAUCCGGAUUUAUUGGGUGGAAAGGGCGUGUAGGCGGGAAAGCAAGUCAGAUGUGAAAACUCAGGGCUCAACCCUGAGCCUGCAUUUGAAACUGUUUUUCUUGAGUGCUGGAGAGGCAAUCGGAAUUCCGUGUGUAGCGGUGAAAGGCGUAGAUAUACGGAGGAACACCAGUGGCGAAGGCGGAUUGCUGGACAGUAACUGACGCUGAGGCGCGAAAGCGUGGGGAGCAAACAGGAUUAGAGACCCCGGUAGUC